CACGUAGGGCGCAAGCGUUGUCCGGAAUUAUUGGGCGUAAAGGGCGCGUAGGCGGCCACUGCAAGUCAGUUGUGAAAUCUCCGGGCUUAACCCGGAAAGGUCAACUGAUACUGCAGGGCUAGAGUGCAGAAGGGGCAACUGGAAUUCUCGGUGUAGCGGUGAAAUGCGUAGAUAUCGAGAGGACCACCUGCGGCGAAGGCGGGUUGCUGGGCUGACACUGACGCUGAUGUGCGAAAGCUAGGGGAGCGAACGGG
rnacentral:rRNA from 1 species